rnacentral:rRNA from 1 species
AGGAUAAACGCUGGCGGCGUGCCUAACACAUGCAAGUCGAACGUCCUACGCAAGUAGGGAGUGGCGGACGGGUGAGUAACACGUGGGCAAUCUACCUUUCGGUGAGGAAUACCGGCGAGAAAUCGCCGACAAUACCGCAUACGCUUCGCAAGAAGCAAAGUCGCAAGACGCCGGAGGAGGAGCCUGCGCCCGAUUAGCUGGUUGGUGGAGUAAUGGUCUACCAAGGCGACGAUCGGUAGCUGGUCUGAGAGGAUGAUCAGCCACACUGGGAUUGAGAACGGCCCAGACUCCUACGGGGGGCAGCAGUGAGGAUUUUCCGCAAUGGGCGAAAGCCUGACGGAGCGACGCCGCGUGUGGGAAGAAGGCCCUUCGGGUCGUAAACCACUGUCGAAGGGGAGAUAAUGACGGUACCCUUGGGAGGAAGCCCCGGCUAACUACGUGCCAGCAGCCGC